rnacentral:rRNA from 1 species
AAACUGGAGGAAGGUGGGGAUGACGUCAAGUCAUCAUGGCCCUUACGACCAGGGCUACACACGUGCUACAAUGGCGCAUACAAAGAGAAGCGACCUCGCGAGAGCAAGCGGACCUCAUAAAGUGCGUCGUAGUCCGGAUUGGAGUCUGCAACUCGACUCCAUGAAGUCGGAAUCGCUAGUAAUCGUGGAUCAGAAUGCCACGGUGAAUACGUUCCCGGGCCUUGUACACACCGCCCGUCACACCAUGGGAGUGGGUUGCAAAAGAAGUAGGUAGCUUAACCUUCGGGAGGGCGCUUACCACUUUGUGAUUCAUGACUGGGGUGAAGUCGUAACAAGGUAACCGUAGGGGAACCUGC